AAUCAACGCUGGCGGCGUGCCUCAGACAUGCAGGUCGAACGAUUAAGACUCUCUUCGGAGAGUGUAUAAAGUGGCGCACGGGUGAGUAACACGUAGGUAAUGUACCGAAGGGUGGGGAAUAACUUAGGGAAACUUAAGCUAAUACCGCAUAAUGCAGCGGCUCGACAUCGAGACAGUUGUUAAAGGAGCAAUCCGCCUUUUGAGCAGCCUGCGGCAGAUUAGCUAGUUGGUAAGGUAAUGGCUUACCAAGGCUACGAUCUGUAACCGACCUGAGAGGGUGGUCGGUCACACUGACACUGAAUAACGGGUCAGACUCCUACGGGAGGCAGCAGUCGGGAAUUUUGGGCAAUGGGCGAAAGCCUGACCCAGCAACGCCGCGUGAAGGAUGAAGUAUUUCGGUAUGUAAACUUCGUAAGAAUAGGAAGAAUAAAUGACGGUACUAUUUGUAAGGUCCGGCUAACUACGUGCCAGCAGCCGCGGUAAU
rnacentral:rRNA from 1 species